rnacentral:sRNA from 1 species
GACCACUCGAAAGAGUUGAGGCCAUACGGACAGCCGGGUCCACUGCCGA